CUAGCCGCGAUUGCAGUGGAAAUCCUUUUUUGAAAAAAAAAGAUUGCAGCGGAAAGCGCGAAAAAG
rnacentral:sRNA from 1 species